UACGUAGGGGGCGAGCGUUGUUCGGAAUUAUUGGGCGUAAAGCGCGUGUAGGCGGUUCGGUAAGGCGGAUGUGAAAUCCCGGGGCUCAACCCCGGGCCGGCAUCCGCGACUGCCGGGCUGGAGUGUGGGAGGGGAGAGCGGAAUUCCUGGUGUAGCGGUGAAAUGCGUAGAUAUCAGGAGGAACACCGGUGGCGAAGGCGGGUCUCUGGGCCGAUACUGACGCUGAGGAGCGAAAGCGUGGGGAGCGAACAGG
rnacentral:rRNA from 1 species